AGUGAACGCUGGCGGUAGGCCUAACACAUGCAAGUCGAACGGCAGCACAGUAAGAGCUUGCUCUUACGGGUGGCGAGUGGCGGACGGGUGAGGAAUACAUCGGAAUCUACUUUUUCGGGGGGGAUAACGUAGGGAAACUUACGCUAAUACCGCAUACGACCUACGGGUGAAAGCAGGGGAUCGUCGGACCUUGCGCGAUUGAAUGAGCCGAUGUCGGAUUAGCUAGUUGGCGGGGUAAAGGCCCACCAAGGCGACGAUCCGUAGCCGGUCUGAGAGGAGGAUCAGCCACACUGGAACUGAGACACGGACCAGACUCCUACGGGAGGCAGCAGUGGGGAAUAUUGGACAACGGGCGCAAGCCUGAUCCAGCCAGACCGCGUGGGUGAAGAAGGCCUUCGGGUUGGAAAGCCCUUUUGUUGGGAAAGAAAAGCAGCAGGUUAAGACCCCGCUGUUCUGACGGUACCCAAAGAAUAAGCACCGGCUAACUUCGUG
rnacentral:rRNA from 1 species